ACUUGUACCUUUGGAAGGAUGCGCGCGUUCGCUUCUCGCCUCUGAGGGUCAACUUGGAUAGAGCAAUAUAAACCAGUAAGACGCAGGCCAUAAGCCCAAAGUUGCUCAAGCAGACGACGGAGAACAUAAUGCCCAAAGACGGGUGUCAGGCUAGGAGGAACGCCCUCUGUUUCCUUUUGGAAAGGAUAGAUUACCGGAGUCUAGAGGGCAUCAUCUUCUGCU
ensembl:ncRNA W03G11.21 ncRNA